CUUCUAUACCCUACUAAUAUUUUCUACUAAUUUUUCUUAAGUGAAGGUUUAUUACAAAUCUUUGCCAGAUUUUAAAUAUUUAUAUUUUCAAAACUAUUAAACAUAUUUCAUGAAAUAUAUUAUUUUUUUAUUCAAAUACAAAGAUUUCAUCUGUCUCUUACUGGGCAAACUUCUGAUUGAAUUCAUUCCUCAUAUUUCAUUCAUAACGUGUCGUUAAUAUAACCUAAUAAAAUGAUUUCAAAUGGCAUAAGGUCUGGAGAUCUUUGUGGCCAUGUAAUUAAGGGUAAAUCCCCUGUCCAAUGCUGUAAACAUUGGAAGAACUUCAUUUGUGCAAUGCUAUUAGAACUGUGAGAAUUUAGAAAAUGUGUGGAGCAAACUUGAUUGCAGAAUUAGAUAUCUGCUGUGUAAUGAAAUGGCCAUAUAUUGAGUUGAAUGUUUAAAAAAAAAACUUAUAUUUCUUUAAAAAAUUUGUGCAUCAAUUAUUGUAAUAUGUGUAGCAGUUUCAAACAUGUAAAAUCUGCUCAUUCAUUUCUGAAAACCUUGCAGUGUUGAUUUUUUUUAAAUGUCUGAAGUUUUCUGUUGAAAUAUUCUUAAAAAAUUUAAUUUACUAUCACUUAAAUGUGUCCUUUCUUGUGAUAGAGACAUUCACUAAUUGUGAAAUAAAAAGAGCUUUUUAAUGGAAGUUGUGUUGUUGCUUUUCACCUAGAUUUAAGCCCCUAAACAAAAUCAAAAAGGUCAUUUCGCACCAACAAUGUAUAUUGUUGACGUGACAUGAUAUACUGAACAAUAUAAUGUGACAAUAUAUUGAAAUGUAAUGAGAUGUCCUGUAUUAAGUACUCCAUCAUUAAAAGAAUUUCUUUAAAUAAAGGUUUCUUUUAUACAUACAGCACAAUACUGUAUAAUGGAGUGUUUUCAUUUAACAGGUUCUUCCAUUUUAAGCUCUUCAGUUGAUGUGUUUGAUAUUAUUGAUGCUGGCAUAUUUUAUGUAAGUCUACUUACAAAAUGUUAACUUGUUUAAACAAAAUAUUUCAAGUCUGUGAAUCAAAAUCUUUAAUAUACGUAUUUUGUAAUUCUAUACUUAGAAUAUUUUUAUAAAAUAUUUUGCUGCCCUUUCUAAAUGUGAUUAAAAAUUGGAAUAGCAUGUUAUUCUUUAAGUCAUAACUGUAUUAAGUUGUUGUAAUACUUUAAUUAAUUGCUUCGUUAACUGCCUCUGCUCUUAUGUUUCGAUGAAUUUCAGAGUGGAAAAAAUUUAUUGAUAUAAAUAAAUAUUUAUAAAUAUGUGAUAAUUAUAAAUUAUUGUAUUAUACUAUAAAUGCGAUGUAAUGAAACUGAAUUUGCAUUUUGGUUCUUUUACUUGUUCUUGUAAUUUAUGGUGGGGAAAAAAAGAAGUAUGAAAAUAUUACCUGUAAGGUAUUGAUCAAACAUUUCAGAGUGACUAGCUUAUUGUAGAUUUGUCAUAAAAUUUUCUGCUUAUUGACACAACUACUUCUUCAAAAGUUUUACAGCCAGGCAAGGCCCUCCCAAUCAGUUGAAACUAUUUCAGCCUACCCAGCACACCUUUUUUAUCCUUUCAGUCCCAAAAACUCAUUUUUCAAUGAAAAAAAAAUUUUUUUAAAGCUUAUAAAACAGACUCUUUUUGCAUUCUAAAUAUAACAGAGCAGAAAUUUUUUUUUAAAAUAAAAUUUCAAAUUAUUCCAGAUGGCAUCAUUGGGAACAAAGUACUAAACAUUACUCAUACUUUUUAGAAUCAUCGCGAGUGAAUUAAAAAAAAAUUGAAAACAUUAUGCAUUAUUUAAUGAUUAAGUAAUUUAUAACUAUGGGAAGAAAUUGAACCAAUUUUUAACAUUAUAAAUGUGGAAGUAUUCAUUGCUAUAACACUGUAACAACAAUUGCUUUUUCUUUCUUUUUUUUAAAAUUUUACAUGAAAUGUUCUGAGACAGUUUUUAGUCUUAUGGGGCAGAGAUGGAUUUUUCACACAUUACAAUCAGACUUAAUACAUAAUUUGAAAUUUUUUUUUUCUUUGAUGUGAAGAUACCAUUGAGCAACUUUUGUAAGAAUAAGAAAUAAUAAUACCUAAGGACAAAGAGUAACUGAAUAAAAUAGAGUAAACAAGACAGGUGAUGUUUUGUACCCACUGAGUCUAUUUGGAAUCCUAACUUUUCUAAGAAUGAAAACUCAAAUAUUUUCAAAAGAAAAUGAUUACGUACUGUUUAAGUACCAUUUAUGAAUAUUCGAACAAAUAAAUAUAAAAUUUUUAAAAACAUCGUUUAAUCUCUAAUGGAAAAAAAAAAAAAAACGCAAACAAGCAUCACCAACAGAUGCAGUGCAAUCACCAAUCGGCAAAAAGAAAGUAUACUUUCUUUAGGAAAUGUUAGUAGAUAAAAAUGUUGUCCAUUUGGACAACAUUUAUUGAUUUGGGUAAAAAAAUGAUUUAGGUAAAAAAAAAAAAAUUAAUGUUACGAUUCCAGUUGGCAUCACUGGGACUGAAAGGGUUAAUUUUGUCAAUCUACCACGCACUUUUUCUCACUUUUAAAGUGCAAGUCAGUAAAAAAAAACAAAUUGGUGGUAGGUAACAGUAUUUGGUUUUAAAAUUUGUUAUUUCUUAUCACGCUAUGCAGUGUUUAUGAAGUUUCUUAAAAAAAGUUCAUAAAACAAUUUAAGAAUCAAAAAGGAAAAUUAAGCACUUAUUUUUAGUUUUUCCUACAAACACUUCUGUUUCUUAGAGUUUCUCAAAAAACGUAGUAAGCAUGUUUGAAGGUUCCCCCUCCCUUCUUCAUUUGAGUGCAAUAUAGGUGACUCUGUUUUUGUGUUAAAAUACUUACCUGUUUAUUAACACUAAUAUGAAUAUUACAUUAUUUGUGCCAUUUGUUUUAUGAGUGCAAAUUAUUUUACCCUAACCAAAGUGCAGAUAAUUGCUACUAAUUAUUUAUUAAAACAUAUUUUCUUUUUUUUUU